CUGGCUCAGGAUGAACGCUAGCUACAGGCUUAACACAUGCAAGUCGAGGGGCAGCAUGGGAUUAGCUUGCUAAUCCUGAUGGCGACCGGCGCACGGGUGAGUAACGCGUAUCCAACCUUCCCCUUACUCAGGGAUAGCCCGCUGAAAGGCGGAUUAACACCUGAUGGUUUCAUUAGAUGGCAUCUGACGAUGAAUAAAGUUUACGGUAAGGGAUGGGGAUGCGUCUGAUUAGCUUGUUGGCGGGGUAACGGCCCACCAAGGCAACGAUCAGUAGGGGUUCUGAGAGGAAGGUCCCCCACAUUGGAACUGAGACACGGUCCAAACUCCUACGGGAGGCAGCAGUGAGGAAUAUUGGUCAAUGGGCGAGAGCCUGAACCAGCCAAGUAGCCGUGCAGGAUGACGGCCCUAUGGGUUGUAAACUGCUUUUGUACGGGAAUAAAGUGACCUACGUGUAGGUUUUUGCAUGUACCGUAAGAAUAAGGACCGGCUAAUUCCGUGCCAGCAGCUGC
rnacentral:rRNA from 1 species